rnacentral:lncRNA from 1 species
GCCCAAGUCUGAUUACGACACUGAUCUAAUCAAAAUGGGCCAAUGGCUUUCUGCAGGACUCUGUCUUCCAUGGACUGAACUCCUGUCACUCUUGUCCCAUUUUGCUCAACCACAGAAGUUUUGCUUUUUUCUUUUGAACAUGUCAAGGAUAUUCCUGCCUCAGGGCCUUUGCAUGUACUAGUCCCUCUGUCUUGAAGCUUAUUCCCCAGAUAUCAAGAUUAUACACCCCUUGCUGUCUUUUUUGAGGUGUCUGUUCUAACAUCAACCUUAUCAGAAAGCCUUCCCUCCCCACCUCCAUUAUUCUCUAUUCUCCUAAACUACCCAAUUUUUCUUGCUGACCCUUAUCAUCAUCUGACAGGCCAAGCAUUUGGGUAUCCGUGGCUCACUGUCUGUCUGCUACCCUAAUGAAGAAAGGGACUCUUGGUUCACUUCUUUAUCCUCAGUACCUAGAAUCAUAAUGGGCCAAGGUAAGCCCUUCGUUAAUAUUGUUGAGUGCAUUAGCCUCCUCGAGGAGGUAGGAAAGAAUGUUUUUAUAUUUCUUCCUACCCUCUGUUUAGCUCAGUGAAGCCACCAGCCGCUUCCUUGCAGCUGAUUGGAGGUCUCCUCCCACGUGGCCCAGAACAUCCUGCAUGUGAUCUAUCCACUCUGGGGACUUUCUGGGGGGCCACUCUUCCCAGGGUGGCACCGGGUUGUUGUUUUCUGUUCUGGAGUCCUGCCAGUGCUUUCCCGGUUGAUGGGAAUUUACCACAUUUCAGUUUCUUUUUUGAAUAAUAAAGUCUCCUCAUGAACCCUUGUUGUUCCUUCCCUUAGGAGGAAGCUAUCUUGUUUUUCAGUUUGAAGUUCAGGGCAGAGAAAACACGGUGGAUGGAAGGGCUGCCAGUCAUCCCGUUGCCCCGCCCCCUUCACAUGUACACAAAGGAAGGAGGAAAAGAAGGAACGUGCAAGGAACUUAGAGCUGAAAUCUCCAAAAGGAAUCAAGAAUGUCAGUGUUGGAGGGUCGUACAGAUCAUCUCCUCUCCCACUGGUUGUCCCCCUACUAUGGUGGAUACCCCAAUGGAUGCUCUUCCCCAGGGGACCCCUCUGCCAUCACAAUUACUAAAUGAAGGACAUAAGUGGCAGGAAAACUUAGCCUGGGUUAUUUCAGUGGAAUCCUGGUAGGUGACACCAAUUCUAUUAAUAAAAUUCUUG